AGUCUUAUAUUCAAAUUAUGAUUUUAAAUUGCAAAUUUAAAGGUAGAUAAAUCUUAAGGCUU
rnacentral:tRNA from 1 species